AACUUCAGCACUGCCCCCAACUGCAAGGGGAAGAGCAAGGAGUCUGACCUGGCCUUCUUCAGGUUCUGGGGGUUGUGGCCAGAUGCCAGGAGAGGGUGGAGAAUUGUAGCAGAGCAGAGACUUAGAAAAUAAAACACCUAAUCAACUAAAUAAACAUUAUAAAUUAUAUGCCGAACACUUUGAGAACUCUAUGAUCUGUAGACCUUGUAUUUAUAGGGCAGUUCUUUGAGAUAAUGCAACAUCCACACGAUGCGCUCUUACCAAUCAUUUAGACAAUCCACAUAGUAGACAUAGAAAAUGAAUAAAAGAGUUGAGUGAAGAUGAAAUCAGAACAUGGAAACAGAAAAAAAAAAAAUGACCAAACUUCUCAACAGGAAAAGAAAAUAAUAUAAAGAAACUAGUAACAGCAAUGCUUAGAAUCCCAAGUGCGGAAGAAGGAGAUGAGGACAUUUUAUCUUUAACCCUUGAAGAGAAGCAAAACAAAGAAUACCUAAAAUUUCUAUUAGAAAUUUGUAUUCUUACAGGAAAGCAAAACGUACCUCUAUAUAAACAUGAAGCUGAUGAAAUCCCAGAAGGUCUCUUUACUCCUGAUAACUUCUAAGAACUGGUAGAGUGGCUGGUAAAUUCUGUUCAAGAGGUCCUGAGAAAGCACUUUGAGACAACUGCAGUUAACACACUGUUCUGUUAAGAAACCUAUCAGAAACAGAUGCUAGAGAUCUGUCACAGCUAUAUUCAGGAAGAAAUGUUCAGGGAAGUAAGAGACUCGCUCUUCUUUCCCUUAUCACUGUCAAUAUAGAGGACAUAAUGGGGGAAGAGCAUCACCUAUGUUGGUGAGAUUUGUCCAUGAAUCUCAUAACCUGAAAGAGGAUGUUGUAGGCUUCCCACCUUAGGAAGCUGAUGCACAAAGUUUGGCUUUAAAAUUCCACACUGUGGCAACUGAGAAGUGGGGGCUACAAAUGGAGUAUCAUUAUGGGCAGGCUUCCAUUCUGUCCACUGAAUUUUCUUCCAAAAUGAAGUACUUGCUUCUAGACUUUGAAAAACAUAUCCCCAAGAUACCUACAGAGGAGAUAUCUCUUCCUCUUCUUAUGUCUUAAAUAUGUGGUUGGUAGAAUCACUGACUGUUAUGGGGAGUUUCUGUUGCAUUGGGAACAAUUGAAGUUUGUUCCUUUUUUCUUUUUUUUUUUUUUGAGACGGAGUCUCGCUCUGUCCCCCAGGCUGGAGUGCAGUGGCGUAAUCUCGGCUGUCUGCAAGCUCCGCCUCCCGGGUUCACGCCAUUCUGCCUCAGCCUCCCCAGUAGCUGGGACUACAGGCACCCGCCACCACGCCUGGCUAAUUUUUUUUGUAUUUUUAGUAGAGACGGGGUUUCACCAUGUUAGCUAGGAUGGUCUCGAUCUCCUGACCUCGUGAUCCCCCCGCCUUGGCCUCACAAAGUGUUGGAUUACAGGCGUGAGCCACUGCGCCCAGCCUGUUCUUUUUUUCUAUCAAUCAGUUACCACAACUGCUUUUAGAACAUGAAAAUGUUAUUUUUUUUCUUUUCCUGAAGAGUGAAGAAAGGGGUAAAGAACUGAAGGAAAUUUGCCAUUCUCCAUGGACAAGAGGGCAGGAUGCUUUUGAAAUUUUAGUGGACCUUGUGAAAGCACUUAUUUUAUGUUGGCAUGGUACAAAUAGUGACACAAAUAUCAGAUGCAAUAAUCGUAUAGCUGCCCAAGCAUUUGUACCCUGAAGUACAGUAACAGAUUUUGAUUUAAUUGUUACCAUUGUUGUUCUUUAAAAUGUCCUAUUUUUUUUUUUUUUUUUUUUUUUUUACAAGAGACUUUUGGAAAAAUCUCUAGGGGCAAACCUCUGAGGUCUUGUCUGCAGCCAGUAGCUUGACUGCAAUACUGCAGUCACUCAGUAAAGUGACAGAAAAAAUUGAAGUUUAUAAUGAGUUUUGGUUUGAGGAAGCCACAAUAUGACAAUCCAACUUGAUGUUCAAAUGAAAUUCCCUGGGAAAUUCCACAGAGCUCAGCAAGGUAACCUGAAAUUCCAACUACCCUAUGAGAGUUUUUAUAAAGAAAACCUGUGUUCAACAGUGGAGCACAUUAUUCAGGAACUUAAAGACAGAUUUUCAGAACAGCACCUCAAAGCUCUUAAGUGCUUAUCUCUGGUACCCUCAGUCAUAGGUCAGCUCAAAUUUUACACAUUAGAGGAACACUAUACUGGCAUGUAUAGAAGUGACUUACCCCAUCCCAGUGUGCUCUCAGCCAAACUGCAUUGUUGGGGAAUCAAAUGGAAAGACAGAGGGA
rnacentral:lncRNA from 1 species